rnacentral:rRNA from 1 species
CCUACGGGUGGCUGCAGUGGGGAAUAUUGCACAAUGGGGGAAACCCUGAUGCAGCGACGCCGCGUGAGUGAAGAAGUAUUUCUGUACGUAAAGCUCUAUCAGCAGGGAAGAAAAUGACGGUACCUGACUAAGAAUCCCCGGCCAACAACGUGCCAGCGGGCGCGGCAAUACGUAGGGGGCAGGCGUUAUCCGGAUUUACCGGGUGUAAAGGGAGCGUAGACGGCAGCGCAAGUCUGCGUGCAACUCCCAUGGCUUACCCAUGGAACUGCUUUGGAAACUGUGCAGCUAGAGUGCAGGAGCGGUAAGCGGAAUUCCUAGUGUAGCGGUGAAAUGCGUAGAUAUUAGGAGGAACACCAGUGGCGAAGGCGGCUUACUGGACUGUAACUGACGUUGCUGCUCGCAAGCGUGGGGAGCAAACAGGAUUAGAUACCCUAGUAGUC